UACGUAUGGUGCAAGCGUUAUCCGGAUUUACUGGGUGUAAAGGGAGCGCAGGCGGCACGGCAAGCCUGAUGUGAAAGCCCGCGGCCCAACCGCGGGACUGCAUUGGGAACUACCGGGCUGGAGUGCCGGAGAGGUAGGCGGAAUUCUUAGUGUAGCGGUGAAAUGCGUAGAUAUUAGGAGGAACACCAGUGGCGAAGGCGGCCUACUGGACGGUGACUGACGCUGAGGCUCGAAAGCGUGGGGAGCAAACAGG
rnacentral:rRNA from 1 species